ACGAACGCUGGCGGCGUGCUUAACACAUGCAAGUCGAACGGAAAGGCCCUGCUUUUGUGGGGUGCUCGAGUGGCGAACGGGUGAGUAACACGUGAGUAACCUGCCCUUGACUUUGGGAUAACUUCAGGAAACUGGGGCUAAUACCGGAUAGGAGCUCCUGCUGCAUGGUGGGGGUUGGAAAGUUUCGGCGGUUGGGGAUGGACUCGCGGCUUAUCAGCUUGUUGGUGGGGUAGUGGCUUACCAAGGCUUUGACGGGUAGCCGGCCUGAGAGGGUGACCGGCCACAUUGGGAAUGAGAGACGGCCCAGACGCCUACGGGAGGCAGCAGUGGGGAAUAUGGCACAAUGGGCGGAAGCCUGAUGCAGCAACGCCGCGUGCGGGAGGACGGCCUUCGGGUUGUAAACCGCUUUCGCCUGUGACGAAGCGUGAGUGACGGUAAUGGGUAAAGAAGCACCGGCUAACUACGU
rnacentral:rRNA from 1 species